rnacentral:rRNA from 1 species
AGGGUUUGAUUAUGGCUCAGGAUGAACGCUAGCGGCAGGCUUAACACAUGCAAGUCGAGGGGUAACAGGGAUUGCUUGCAAUCCGCUGACGACCGGCGCACGGGUGCGUAACGCGUAUGCAACCUACCUUUUUCAGGGGGAUAGUCAAUAGAAAUGUUGAAUAAUACCCCAUAAUAUUAUUAAUCCGCAUGGAUUGAUAAAGAAAGCUCCGGCGGAAAAAGAUGGGCAUGCGUCCUAUUAGUUAGUUGGUAAGGUAACGGCUUACCAAGACAUCGAUAGGUAGGGGUCCUGAGAGGGAGAUCCCCCACACUGGUACUGAGACACGGACCAGACUCCUACGGGAGGCAGCAGUGAGGAAUAUUGGACAAUGGAGGCAACUCUGAUCCAGCCAUGCCGCGUGCAGGAAGACGGCCCUAUGGGUUGUAAACUGCUUUUAUACAGGAAGAACUGUAUCUACGUGUAGAUACUUGACGGUACUGUACGAAUAAGGAUCGGCUAACUCCGUGCCAGCA